GGGCGAUCUGGCUGCAACAUCUGUCACCCCAUUGAUCGCCAGAGUUGAUUCGGCUGAUCUGGCGGGCUAGGAUGUGCACCCCUCCCCAAGCUGCGUGCUUGGUUGAAGAGGACGGCCUUCCCCAAAUAGAGACAGUCUCCGGUCGAGGGUAUACGAGUAGCUGCACUCCUCUGCUGUCACUGUCACUGUCAUCCCGUUGCUCAUCGAUUUGUUCGAGUGGGCACCAGUAAUGUCUCUCAUUGAGAGACUUAUUGUU
rnacentral:snRNA from 1 species